rnacentral:lncRNA from 10 species
CUUUCAGAAGUGACUCUCCAGGGGAGCUAAAAUCCAUGUAUUUGGGCACACACUUGAACAAUAUUGCUAGAGAAAUUUAAGCAAGAGCACAAAGGUUAAUGACAUCUCUUGUGGGGACCACUGUGAGAAUAAAACAAGGCACUACGUUGUCUGGGAUGAUGGAAGGAGCUAAAGUCUUCAGUGAAUGAAGGAGCAGGACCAGGAGCUCAAAAUACUUCUUUGAAGACAAAGAAGAAAUGAUAUUACCAAAUGGUUGGCUCAAAAGAACAGGGAUUUUGCAACAGAGAGAGUAUGUCAUGGUCUUGAACAAGCAAUGUUUUGCCAGGACGAUUAAAUAUCAUUGAUGCUUCUGGUCUACAAUUAGUCAGAGAAGAGAUUAAAAAAAUGAUGAGUAUUCAAGAAGGAAAGUGUUUGCUUUAACAUAUGAAGAAAAGGAGCUUCAGAGUGGUGAUUAACCCCAGAAUUGUGUGGAACGGAUAUGGAAACAAGACCACAGGAGCAUCGAGAACUGAGCAGAACUGAAGGUGACAUGAAAAUCAGCUGCAAGAUUCACCUCAGGGUGAUAAUGGGCUGCAGGUGGCUGCAGGAAUCCCGGGACAUUCUAGGCACUGCCAUAUUUUCUUAGGGGCCAGUAAGGAUGGCUAUCAUCAGAUGUACCUGAUGAUACAAACAUGGGCUGUCUUGCCUUCUAGUAUUCAUUCUUGAUGAUUGCAUCCAGAGCUCACUUUGGAGGUGCAGAUCAACUCUUCUUCAGGCUCAUCCAUGCGACUUGAGUGGGCUCUCAU